rnacentral:tRNA from 1 species
GCACCAUUAGCUCAGCUGGUAGAGCAGUAGACUCUUAAUCUAUUUGUCCAGGGUUCGAAUCCCUGAUGGUGUA